ACGUUAGCUAUUUGAGGAAUAGAUACCAAGACAAUUUCGGGUUGUUUAAUGUCCUUCGUUACAAAUAUCUGUUGCAAUCGGGUUGUGAAGGUGGUUGUGUAAAUUUUUAGCGUAGCCAAGCACUAUUUUGUAACCUUACAUCUCGAAACCGCAUGCCUUCAGAUUCCACAUUUUGUUCUCGAAGUAGAAGUUCAUUAGCGUCACGCAGUGACCAUGUGGCUGGGUGAUAUAUUCUCCCGACUGUAUAUUGAACUGCGACCCAAGGUAGCCCGGAGUGCCGGCAAAGGUCUAGGCAAGAGCAGCACAGAGGUAUAUCAAAGUCAUUCGUCAGAUGAUGUAGAUUUCAAAAGUUCAAUGAAGACAAAAUAAUUAUUCAUAUGUCUAUCACAAAUUAGUUAUUAUCUUCCAACAUACAGAGCAAUCUAGACACCAG
rnacentral:sRNA from 1 species